rfam:Trachymyrmex cornetzi contig30864, whole genome shotgun sequence.
GCCCUCGUAGUCUAAAGGCUUAGGACGCUCACACGGUAUGCAAGAGAUCCGGGUUCGACUCCCGGCCGAGGUA